rnacentral:rRNA from 1 species
GAUGAACGCUAGCGGCAGGCUUAAUACAUGCAAGUCGUGGGGCAGCAUGAGUGUAGCAAUACAUUUGAUGGCGACCGGCAAACGGGUGCGGAACACGUACACAACCUUCCUUCAAGUGGGGAAUAGCCCAGGGAAACUUGGAUUAAUACCCCGUAAUAUUAUGGAGUGGCAUCACUUUAUAAUUAUAGCUCCGGCGCUUGAUGAUGGGUGUGCGCCUGAUAGGUAGUUGGCGGGGUAACGCCCACCAAGCCUUCGAUCAGUAACUGGUGUGAGAGCACGACCAGUCACACGGGCACUGAGACACGGGCCCGACUCCUACGGGAGGCAGCGAGUAAGGAAUAUUGGGC